rnacentral:antisense_RNA from 1 species
GAUUGAUAUCUUUAUUUUGCAUUAUUUGAUUUUCACAAUUCGCUUGAACGACUCUUGGGGAUGAUAAAAAGGCGGGCUGCCAUGCACUUUAUUUAGCCUUGAAGCCAUUCUAGGGAAGGGAUGGCCGAAGAAAGGUGGAUAGAUUUUGUAAAAUGCCAUAUAAUUUGAUGAAUUAGGAUUGUGAUGAAUGAGAAACGCCAUGUAAAAUUUCGUCGACUUUUUUUCUGUUUAAUAGUAGUAUGACUAAGUUUUUGGGGGAGGAAGGUUAGUGGAUGAACUGAUAUGUAAAUAAGUGGACCAGUUAAUAACUUGGCUUUGUUAGAUAGAAUUUUCUUUUUUAUAAAAUAAUUUGCAAGUAUUGAUAACUCUAAAUAAUGAACUGGUUGGAUUAAACCCAUAAGUUAAUUAUUGACUUUCAAUAUUAAAAUAGGCGAAUAAAUGCAUUCAGAGUAAUUUCAAUAAUGAUUUCUUCAUUAUAUUAUUUGCAUUCAUAAAGUCGAAUUUGUAG